GCCAGAGUAUCUCGAUCAAUCUGUUGCUUCAACGUGGUACUUGAAGUGGCAAUCUGAGGCUGAAAUGAGUUUCAGAUCAAGAAACAAAGAUGAUUUUCAGUGGUAUCUCUGGUUUUUGAUUAGAACUGCAGUAUAUGGCUAUGUAUUGUAUCAUGUGAUUCGCUUUAUGAAGAGGAAAAUUCCACGACUUCUUGGUUAUGGACCUUUAAGGAUAAAUCCCAACAUACGGAAGCUGCAGAGAGUGAAAGCAUAUUUUAGGUUUAGGACAAGGAGAAUAAAGCAAAAGAAGAAGGCGGG
rnacentral:misc_RNA from 1 species